CUUUCGACGACGGAUACCUCGGUUCCCACGCCGAUGAAGAGCGCGGCGAAACGCGAUAUGUCGUGCGAAUCGCAGAAUUCGGCGAAUCACGCAAUCCUCGAACGCAUCCGGCGCUCUCGGGUCUUCCCGGGAGCAUGCCCGUC
rnacentral:rRNA from 1 species